rnacentral:lncRNA from 1 species
UGUUAGGGUUUUUGUGUAAAACAAAUGAGAUGUACAUAUUUUUAUAGUAUUAUAUUCUACUGUAGAUGGCCAAGGGAGCCUUACUUUAAAAAAGAAAAACUGUUAGAUAAAGCAAACCGAACUUUACCAGUACCUUAAAUAAAGGUAAAAUGCGUGCGAUCAGCGGUGUACCUUGGUGACCAAAAGCGGGCAAUAAUUUUUGUGGUUGGAAAUAUUGGCAGGUCAGAUACGGCACCGCUCUCAUGCUCAACGAAAAAACAGGGUUCAUAUAGGUGCGGCGAUC